AACGAACGCUGGCGGCAUGCCUAACACAUGCAAGUCGAACGAGACCUUCGGGCUUGCUGGCGCACUGGUGCGUAACGCGGGGGAACCUGCCCUUAGGUUCGGAAUAACUUGCGGAAAGGGGUGCUAAUACCGGCUAUUGUCUCCCGACCAAAGGUUGAUCGCCUUUGGAUGGGCGUGAGUUGUAUCAGCUAGUUGGUAGGGUAAAAGCCUAUCAAGGCUACGAUAGAUAGCUGGGUUGAGAGGAUGAGCAGCCACACUGGGGGUAGGCCACGGUCCAGAAUCCUAGACGAGGGAGCAGUGGGGGAUAUAGGAAAGUGGGGGGUGGCAUGAUCGAGCAAUGCCGGGUGAGUGAUGAAGGCCUUGGGGUUGUAAAGCUCUUUUACACCGGAUGAUAAUGACAGUACCGGGAGAAUAAGCUCCGGCUAACUCCGUG
rnacentral:rRNA from 1 species